GGUGAACGCUGGCGGUAGGCCUAACACAUGCAAGUCGAACGGCAGCACAGUAAGAGCUUGCUCUUACGGGUGGCGAGUGGCGGACGGGUGAGGAAUACAUCGGAAUCUACUUUUUCGUGGGGGAUAACGUAGAGAAACUUACGCUAAUACCGCAUACGACCUACGGGUGAAAGCAGGGGAUCUUCGGACCUUGCGCGAUUGAAUGAGCCGAUGUCGGAUUAGCUAGUUGGCGGGGUAAAGGCCCACCAAGGCGACGAUCCGUAGCUGGUCUGAGAGGAUGAUCAGCCACACUGGAACUGAGACACGGUCCAGACUCCUACGGGAGGCAGCAGUGGGGAAUAUUGGACAAUGGGCGCAAGCCUGAUCCAGCCAUACCGCGUGGGUGAAGAAGGCCUUCGGGUUGUAAAGCCCUUUUGUUGGGAAAGAAAAGCAGCAGGUUAAUACCCCGCUGUUCUGACGGUACCCAAAGAAUAAGCACCGGCUAACUUCGUG
rnacentral:rRNA from 1 species